UACGGAGGAGUGCAAACGUUGUUCGGAUUCACUGGGCGUAAAGGGCACGUAGGCGGCUCGGCAAAUCGGUCGUGGAAUCCCGACGCUUACCGUCGGAACGGCGGCCGAAAAUACCGGGCUCGAGGGCGUGAGGGGUCACUGGAACUCCUGGUGAAGCGGUGAAAUGCGUAGAUAUCAGGAGGAACGCCGGAGGCGAAAGCGAGUGACUGGCGCGUUCCUGACGCUGAGGUGCGAAAGCUAGGGGAGCAAACAGG
rnacentral:rRNA from 1 species